rnacentral:rRNA from 1 species
UACAGAGGUCUCAAGCGUUGUUCGGAAUCACUGGGCGUAAAGGGUGCGUAGGCCGCACGGUAAGUCAGAGGUGAAAUCCCGGAGCUCAACUCCGGAAUUUGCCUCCGAUACUGCCGUGCUUGAGGACUGGAGAGGAGUCUGGAAUUCAUGGUGUAGCAGUGAAAAUGCGUAGAGAUCAUGAGGAAGACCAGUGGCGAAGGCGGGUCUCUGGACAGUUCCUGACGCUGAGGCACGAAGGCCAGGGGGAGCGAAGGGGG